rnacentral:sRNA from 1 species
UAAGAUUUGUGUUGCCUUGAAGAUGUAU